GUCGUGAGAUGUUGGGUUAAGUCCCGCAACGAGCGCAACCCUUGUCAUUAGUUGCUACAUUUAGUUGGGCACUCUAAUGAGACUGCCGGUGACAAACCGGAGGAAGGUGGGGAUGACGUCAAGUCCUCAUGGCCCUUAUAGGUGGGGCUACACACGUCAUACAAUGGCCGGUACAAAGGGCUGCCAACCCGCGAGGGGGAGCUAAUCCCAUAAAACCGGUCGUAGUCCGGAUCGCAGUCUGCAACUCGACUGCGUGAAGUCGGAAUCGCUAGUAAUCGUGGAUCAGAAUGUCGCGGUGAAUACGUUCCCGGGCCUUGUACACACCGCCCGUCACACCAUGGGAGUGGGUUCUGCCAGAAGUAGUUAGCCUAACCGCAAGGAGGGCGAUUACCACGGCAGGGUUCGUGACUGGGGUGAAGUCGUAACAAGGUAGCCGUAUCGGAAGGUGCGGCUGGAUCACCUC
rnacentral:rRNA from 1 species